rnacentral:rRNA from 1 species
UACAGAGGGGGCUAGCGUUAUUCGGAAUUAUUGGGCGUAAAGGGCGCGUAGGCGGCCUUGCGUGUCUUCCGUGAAAUCCCUCGGCUUAACUGAGGACGUGCGGAAGAAACUGCAGGGCUCGAGUCCGGGAGAGGGGGGUGGAAUUCCUAGUGUAGCGGUGAAAUGCGUAGAUAUUGGGAGGAACACCGGUGGCGAAGGCGGCCCCCUGGACCGGUAUUGACACUGAGGCGCGAAAGCCAGGGGAGCAAACGGG